rnacentral:rRNA from 1 species
UAUUUCCCGAUUUUGGAGGAGUUAACAAUUGGUGUGUUGUUUAUUGUUUUAUAAAUUAUCAGUGACAUUUUGUUGGCGGUGAAAUGCUAUUCGACUUCAUAGGUUUCUGGUUUUUCAAGAAACGAAUUUAAUUCGUGUUUUUGUUUAAUUUUUCUUUUGGUUUGUGUAAUUUUACUUUGUUCUAAUAUUAAGGGGGAUUAGCUCCUUUUUAUAUUUUAAUAUCUUUUUCUUGGUUUAGUCUUGUGGUUUUUAUGGUGAUUUUCAAUUUGAUUAUGUUAAAAUUUUGUUAUUCUUUGUUUUUAUUUUGUUGUGAUUUAUUUUUAUAUUGAAACGUUGUUUUUUUCUUAUGAUGACUUGUGAUUAUUGUGGAAUUAGUAUAUUUUCGUGUUUGUUUUGUUUUUUGUUUGUUAAUUUCUUUUGAGGAAUUCGGCAAAUAAUUUGUGCCCGCCUGUUUAACAAAAACAUCUCUUCUUGUUAGUUUUUGAAGUAAGGCCUGCCCACUGACUGAGUUAAAGGGCCGCGGUAUAUUGACCGUGCAAAGGUAGCAUAAUCAUUAGUUCUUUAAUUGUGAUCUGGUAGGAAUGGUUUGACGAGGUACAAUCUGUCUUAAUGUUUUGUAUUUUAAUUGAAUUUAAGGUUUUGGUUAGAAUUCUUAAAUGUUUUUGUGGGACGAGAAGACCCUAUAGAGUUUUACACUUACAUUUAUUAGUGGGUUUGGUUGUUGUCAUAUUUAAUGGUGCGUGUUUUGUUGGGGCGAUGGGAAGAUUUUUUGGAACUCUUCCUUAUUUGUUAUUCACUUAUUUGUGUUUUAGCUUGAU